rnacentral:rRNA from 1 species
GCCAUGCAUGUCUAAGUAUAAGCGUUCUUAUACUGUGAAACUGCGAAUGGCUCAUUAAAUCAGUUAUAGUUUAUUUGAUGGUGGAUUACUACUUGGAUAACCGUGGUAAUUCUAGAGCUAAUACAUGCGUCAAGUCCCAACUUUACGGAAGGGAUGUAUUUAUUAGAUACAAAACCAAUGCGGCUUCGGUCGGUCUUUGGUGAUUCAUGAUAACUGUUCGGAUCGCAUGGCCUUGCGCCGGCGAUGAAUCAUUCAAAUUUCUGCCCUAUCAACUUUCGAUGGUAAGGUAGUGGCUUACCAUGGUUGCAACGGGUAACGGAGAAUUAGGGUUCGAUUCCGGAGAGGGAGCCUGAGAAACGGCUACCACAUCCAAGGAAGGCAGCAGGCGCGCAAAUUACCCAAUCCCGACACGGGGAGGUAGUGACGAUAAAUAACAAUGCAGGACUUUUACAAGUCUUGCAAUUGGAAUGAGAACAAUUUAAACCCCUUAACGAGGAACAAUUGGAGGGCAAGUCUGGUGCCAGCAGCCGCGGUAAUUCCAGCUCCAAUAGCGUAUAUUAAAGUUGUUGCAGUUAAAAAGCUCGUAGUUGGAUUUCGGAGCUGAGCGUGUGGUCCGCCGUAAGGUGUGCACUGCUCGCUUGGUUCUUCUUCUCGUGGAACGCGUGUGCUCUUUACUGAGUGUGCGUGGGACUCGGGACUUUUACUUUGAAAAAUUAGAGUGUUCAAAGCAGGCCUUUGCUUGAAUACAUUAGCAUGGAAUAAUGAAAUAGGACCAUGGUUCUAUUUUGUUGGUUUUCGGAACCGAGGUAAUGAUUAAUAGGGACAGUUGGGGGCAUUCGUAUUCAAUUGUCAGAGGUGAAAUUCUUGGAUUUAUGGAAGACGAACAACUGCGAAAGCAUUUGCCAAGGAUGUUUUC